UGGAAUAGGAGAAGGGGCAGGAAGAGGAAGAGGAGGGACAGAGGCAGAUCAAGGCUGAGCAGCAGGAAGCACGCGGUCGAGCCCUCCGUGCAUUCGCAGCCCCCACCUGUGGGAUCAUCGCCCCCAUGGCGCAGGAUUUCCCAUUGUCACUUCUUGUGAGGUAGUGAGGAAGAGGAAGAUGUCCCUGGACAUGGAGUCAGGAUUGGAAGGAAAUUCAAGGACAGGAACAGUUUUUCUCAGCUGGGAAUUGGAAUUCCAGACCCUGGGAUUGUGUGCAGGACCACACAGACUGCGAUCAAACAUGGACUGGGGCCAUGUGGAAUGGGACCAUACAGAUCAGGAUGAUACAGACUGGGAUAAACUGGGUUGAAAUUACACGGACUGGGGUGGCACAGACUGGGAUGGCACAGACUGGGGUUGCACAGGCUGGGGUUGCACAGACUGGGGUUGCACACACCGGGAUUGCACACACUGGGAUCAGACGGGCUGGAAAAGCAUUGGCUGCCUUUGGCUCCAUCCACGUCUAAAGGCGGCCACA